rnacentral:rRNA from 1 species
CUGCUAUCGGGGUGAGGCUAAGCCAUGCAAGUCGAAGGUCCCCAGCUUCCGGGGGCCUGGCAGACGGCUCAGUAACACGUGGCCAACCUACCCUAGGGAGGUAGAUAACCCCUGGGAAACUAGGGUUAAACUACCAUAGGAGGCGGGAUCUGAAAGACCUGCCUCUGAAAGUGGUGUACAGGGAUGCCUGUACACCAGCCCUAGGAUGGGGCUGCGGCCCAUCACGGUUGUUGGUGGGGUAACGGCCCGCCAAGCCUAUAACGGGUACGGGCCCUGAGAGGGGGAGCCCGGAGAUGGACUCUGAGACAAGAGUCCAGGCCCUACGGGGCGCAGCGGGCGCGAAAACUCCCCAAUACCCGAAAGGGUGAGGGGGUCACCUCGAGUGCCACCCUCGUGGUGGCUUUUGCGGGGUCUAAAAAGCCCCGCGAAUAAGGGGAGGGCAAGACGGGUGUCAGCCGCCGCGGUAAAACCAGC